GCGAUAUCGUGAGACAACCGCUCUUACACUAAAUUUAAGGUGUCUAGCGGGCGAACACGAUGACGUAGGAUAACCGUGCUUACACUAAAUUGUUUCUAGCGGGCGAACGCGAUGCCGUAGCGCAAAAGUUCUCUUACCAGAUUGUAACUUUUAGGACGUGCGUAGUGGCCGUCGGAUAAGUAUGCACGCUGCUGUGUUUAUCAAUCGUGGAUUCAUUUUUGGUUCACCUGUGCGCGCGUUUCCGUUAACAAUCAAUUAUAGAUUCGCACAUAAGAAUAACUUGGAAUUAUAAUUAAUUCCUGCAAAUGGACAACUUUAAUGCACAGACAAAAAGUUAGUGAAUGCACGAAUGGAGUUUGCAAUAUCUAGAGCUGAAGUGUUGGAAAUGCGUAUAUUUUAACACGUUGAGGACGGCGUGUACCACCGGUGGUACACACGCGUCUGGUCUGUGGGACGGCGUGUACCACCGGUGGUACACGGCUCAUUUGAAACGAGACUUAUUCAUUUUUGACUACGCCACUGGUUAGGUUAUAUAUUCUCCUCGUUUCACCUAUACAAUCAGGGCCUUGCAUCUUUGUCAUCAAAUGUGUGACUCAGAUUACAUAUUAUAAUAAAUAGUGACCGACCAAAGUUUCAGUUUUGGCUUCAAAUUUGGUUUCGGCUAAAAAUUGGCUGAAACUUUUGGCAGAACCGAAACUCAGUGUUCGUAAAUUAUCGUGCGUCGUUCGGCUAACUCGCGGUUAAGUCGUGGUCGUCACUUGCCAUCUCAGUUCGCACAUAGUUUCGGUCGGACUCUAAAGAUAAAGGCA